AGCCUCAGCAAGAAUCCGGUGAUCUGGCUCUACACAUAACUUGGUGGAAAGGAGACAUAUAGAGAAGUGGAAGGCGGGAAGAAGAACAUAAUUUCAGUAGUGUAGGAACGUAUUUGACAUCUAUGAGCUUCAGCGACACCCAGGGGUUCAGCACAUGGAUGGUGAUUUAAGAUGAGCUCCCCUGAAAUAAUGCUGUACCCUCAGGCCAGUGGGCCUCUUUGAAGGGGUUAAUUGUUCAGAGAAUCUUGGCCAGUGAUUUUAGAAGGUAAGAACCACCCCAUAUCAAAGUUAGCAAUGACUGGGGAGAAGGCUAUUAUCACUGUAAAUAUGUAUUAACUGAGCUACUUGGCAACCAUAACCCCUUUUACUGCCUCACAUCUCUCCACUGCAAACUGCAUGUUUGUAGAUAAACCACAAGCAAGCAGUCUACAUUUACAACAUUGGCCUGGAUGUGGACUUCUCAAAUGCAGUGUGUAAACUAAAUUCAGGUUGACCGUGUAUUCAUGGUGAUUGUUUAUUUGCCAGACACUUCCUAAGCCUCAUAUUUAUUCAGUUUUUCCUUUGGGUCACAUCAGUGCCAGUGAGUUUAAUAUAUUCUGCUUCUUGGGAGUCAUGGGGUCAGGGAUGUGUUCCCUCCCUCCCACAUUAGAAAGAAGAAGGACGGUUGUUAAGGAUUCUCCUAAAACUUGGGGACAACCCAUGGGGGGCCAGGGACACACACUCUGACACCAUUUUACGUAAACCCAGACAUGCUUCUGCUCAUUUUAAUUAGACAGAUAAAAUUAGCAAGGAGAUUACGGUAAAAGGAGAAAUUAAAAAUAAUUAAAUGUUAGGUGGAAUUUACAAAAGUGAAUUGAACAAUGAGGUACAAUAAGGAAUGUAAAGAGAAACACAGACACGUUUGAAACAUUCCUCGGAUGCCACGUGGCUUAAGCCAGUCCGUAGGUAAAGCAACAAUUCUCCCUUGUCACUUCUUGCAGAUUCCAGUGAUGUGAAAGAACAUUCUCCAGAAACACUUUCCUUCUCCUUUUCUUCAGAUGUUAUCAGCAAUUAUUAAUCAAUCAGUCAGCAUCAUUCCAGGAUGGCCCACACUGCGUCCAAUUCAAACCACUCACCUGUUUCCUGUCUGAAUUUGCAAACUCCUGAGAGUUUUCCCCCCCUUUCAUUUCAUUUUUCUCCCUCUCCUCUCUUCCCAUUGAGCCAGUAGGCCAAUUGGGCCAACCAGAAAGCCUAACCAACACUGCAUUCCAGCCCCUUCGGAUUUCCUAGGGACAAAGACUUCCCAGGUCUUCUUUCUUGUUUGCAUCUGUUACGAACAAGCACAGUCAUUUUAUAACACAGACAUACAUAUGUGUGCGCUUGCACACGGAAACAGGUUUUUCUUUUUUUCCAAUUUGUGGUUUCUUUUUCCUUUUUGCAGAAAAUGCAAACAAAAGAAAAACGAGGUUUUCAAUUGAAGGUACAUCUCUUCUUCAAUAUGAAGACAUUAAUUGAAUUGGUUGGAUCCCCAUGCAGUGGUCAGCGAAGUCCUUUGGCAACUGACGGAACAACAUCUGGAGACUCAGGAGCUGGGUUCAUUUUGUUUGAAGAAACUUCCCUACAGGAGUCAUGAGCAGAGGGAAACGAGUGUGGGAGAAAGGAGGGGACUCUCAGGGAGGAGUACAAAAGGAGAAAAGAAAAGAAUGUCAUUGGUAAGGAAGAAAAUGGAA